rnacentral:rRNA from 1 species
CGGCGGACGGGUGAGUAACGCGUGGGUAACCUGCCUUAUACAGGGGGAUAACAGUUAGAAAUGACUGCUAAUACCGCAUAAGCGCACAGUACUGCAUGGUACAGUGUGAAAAACUCCGGUGGUAUAAGAUGGACCCGCGUCUGAUUAGCCAGUUGGCGGGGUAACGGCCCACCAAAGCGACGAUCAGUAGCCGACCUGAGAGGGUGACCGGCCACAUUGGGACUGAGACACGGCCAAACUCCUACGGAAGGCAGCAG